rnacentral:rRNA from 1 species
UACGUAGGGACCAAGCGUUGUUCGGAUUUACUGGGCGUAAAGGGCGCGUAGGCGGCCUAACAAGUCACUUGUGAAAUCUCCGGGCUUAACUCGGAACUGCCAAGUGAAACUGUCAGGCUAGAGUGCAGAAGGGGCAAUCGGAAUUCUUGGUGUAGCGGUGAAAUGCGUAGAUAUCAAGAGGAACACCUGAGGUGAAGACGGGUUGCUGGGCUGACACUGACGCUGAGGCGCGAAAGCCAGGGGAGCAAACGGG